rnacentral:rRNA from 1 species
UACGUAGGGGGCAAGCGUUAUCCGGAUUUAUUGGGCGUAAAGGGAACGCAGGCGGUCUUUUAAGUCUGAUGUGAAAGCCUUCGGCUUAACCGGAGUAGUGCAUUGGAAACUGGGAGACUUGAGUGCAGAAGAGGAGAGUGGAACUCCAUGUGUAGCGGUGAAAUGCGUAGAUAUAUGGAAGAACACCAGUGGCGAAAGCGGCUCUCUGGUCUGUAACUGACGCUGAGGUUCGAAAGCGUGGGUAGCAAACAGG